rnacentral:lncRNA from 1 species
CUGCCAAGUAUAAAAGGAACCUGAACCUCCACAGGGGCUGAGAUUGUGGCGUCUCAGAGCUCAGAUGGAUGUGAACUUGGCCACGAGUGCUGUCCCGUCUCGGCUCUGCUGCCAGCUGGUGGGUUUUACCAAAUACAAGGAAUCCAACUCGGCUGCCUGGUUUCCCACUUUCUGCCGACGGCAGGUCCCGGCUGGCUCGGCGCGUUCUGCAUGGCUGUGUCUCCAUGCAGGGUGGUUGGAGAGCGUGCAGAAGCAUCUCAGAGGUUUCCGGUUGGGACGAUGGUGGCAGGGUGACCGCACCUUCUUCCCAUAUUGCGAGUGAACUUUUGCCCCCAUCCUCAUGGGACAAACAUGGAGGAGGAAGGAGCUCCCUGGGCCCCUGCC